CGCUGGCGGCGCGCCUAACACAUGCAAGUUGAACGGAGAUACACGCUGUUGAGGACUUCGGUUAAAAACUUGUGAUUUAGUGGCGAACGGGUGAGUAACACGUGAGGAACCUGCCUAAAAGAGGGGGGAUAACACUUAGAAAUAGGUGCUAAUACCGCAUAAGACCACACUGUCACAUGGCAGAGCGGUCAAAGGAGCAAUCCGCUUUUAGAUGGACUCGCGUCCCAUUAGAUAGUUGGUGAGGUAACGGCUCACCAAGUCGACGAUGGGUAGCCGGACUGAGAGGUUUGAACGGCCACGUUGGGACUGAGACACGGCCCAGACUCCUACGGGAGGCAGCAGUGAGGAAUAUUUGGGGCAAUGGGGGCAACCCUGACCCAGCGACGCCGCGUGAGGGAAGAAGGUUUUCGGAUUGUAAACCUCUGUCUUCGGGGACGAUAAUGACGGUACCCGGGGAGGAAGCCACGGCUAACUACGUGCCAGCCGCCGC
rnacentral:rRNA from 1 species